UCAAAAAAAACUAGGUUGGAUGUAAUGAUAUUCAUAAUAUAACGAAUAUCAUCAUUUCAAUUAUGUUAAUCAUAACACACCUAUUAUUAAUAUCUAAACACUGUAUUUAAUACAAUAUCAAAAAUAUUCAUAAUAUCAAAAUAUGUAACUAACCACAACACAUCUUUGUACCCCAUUAUAAUAAUCAAAAUUAUACUUAUUAAUAGUAGUAAUAUUUAUACUUACUUUUAAUCAAAUGUCAUUACUAUAUCUAAUACACUAAUAUUACGACUUUUAUAACAACAUAUCUGUACCCAUGAACUUCAAUAUUAUAUAAAAUUACUAUUAAAUCUAUUUAUUCCUAUACAUAUAUAUACCAUAAGCCAUAUAAAAAAAUAUGCGUUAAUAAAAACACGCACCUUUUACCUAUGUACCUUGAUAAUAAACGACAAUAACAUAACAAAUCUGUCAACAAGUACCAAGGGUCAAUACUAUAAGUAGAGCCCUCUUUACAUGAUACACCCAGUCUGCUAACAUCAUUCUAGCCUGUCAUAUACCUUUUACACCGACUUAUUGAGUUGAUCGCUAUAUCCUCCAUUCACGGAUCAUUGCUGCUUGGUUGACGGAAAUUGUUACUGUUAUAAUUUCUUACAAAUUAAAAACAUUAAGUGUUAUAAAUUAAUUUUAUUCAAUACCUUUUGAUUUCAAAAGAUCUUUGUAACCUACCAUCAAUCAACCAACUUCGACACAGUUAAGGAGUCGUACUUUAUAAGACUACAACAAUUAAACAAAUAAAGAAAAAACAUGGCUUUUAUUUCGUCAUUUAACAAUAUAGCAAAAUAUUUCCAUGUACGUAAUGAUAAACCAGUGAUUGACGAUUAUAUAUUUCAAUUUCACUACAAACUAACCACUAACAUUUUAUUAAUGUUUUGUGUGUUAUUAACAUCGAUAAAUUUAAUAGGUAAUCCAAUACAAUGCAUGACGAAUUUAUCGAAAAAAGAUGACGUGCGAAAGGUUAUAAACACUUAUUGUUGGAUAUCCAGUACAUUCACUUAUAACAACAAUCCAGACUUUCAUCAAUCCUCUAAUAUAAAUGAAGAUAAAAUAAAAAUUAGAUACCAUUCGUACUACCAAUGGGUACCAUUUAUGCUAUUUUUUCAAGCCAUUACUUUUUAUGUGCCACAUUGGAUAUGGAAAAUGUGGGAAGGAGGAAAAAUACGUAUAAUAACGAAUGAUUUGAGAGGACUUAGUAUGGAUUCUGUUCAGGAGAGGCUAGCAAAACAAAAUAAAUUGGUACAAUAUUUUAUCGAGAGUUUCCACAUGCACAGCACUUAUGCGCUCGGCUAUAUUUUCUGUGAAAUAAUAAACGUGAUCAAUAUAUGUGCCAACAUUUAUGUUACCAAUAAGUUUAUUGGUGAAUAUUUUUUGACAUAUGGAUUUGAAGUUUUCAAAUAUAAUGAAAACGAUCAAAAUCAUACUGACCCGAUGGAAGAAAUUUUUCCUCGACUUACAAAAUGUAAUUUUUACAAGUAUGGAUCAUCGGGCACCAUUCAGAAAAUGGAUGCUUUGUGCAUACUCGCUCAAAAUGUUUUAAAUGAAAAAAUAUAUCUGUUCUUGUGGAUUUGGUUUUUUAUGCUAGCUAUUAUGUCCAUAUUAGCACUGCUAUACAGAAUCGCUAUUAUAACGCAAAUUAUUAAGAAGACCUCUUCAUUCAAUAACAUAUUCAAGUUAACAAAUAAUACAUUAAUGAUGUCCAGCCUUUUCCGGAAGUGUCAAAUCGGUGAUUUUUUACUCCUUCAUCUUAUCGAGAAGAAUGUUAAUCAUUUUCAAUUUAAAGAAAUAAUGAAAGAAAUAUGUGCAAAUUUGAAUUUGGAAAAUUCCUAUGAUCUUCAUCUAGAUUUUGUCCCGUAUUAAAAUGUAAUGAUUGUUGACUGUUAAUAAUUAGAACUGAGCAAUUUUUUACCAUUGUACCUAUUUGUGUUUCAAAUUGAAUAAUUUAAGAAUUUAAAUUAAGUUACUACCACUACAAUUAUUUACUCCAGAUAUGUGGAUACUCCAGAUACUCUACUGUUACGCGGUUACUACUCUAUUUAAUGAU
rnacentral:misc_RNA from 1 species